GAAUGCACAAAAGAAAACCUAGGCUUCCAUUCCAAGCCUAUCAUUAUUGCUGCCUACCUGGGAGUUGCUCUGUUGGCCGUUUGCUUCUGGAGCACUGUCCUUGCUGUAAAGCCUACAGUGCAUCAAGUUAAUUUAGAUCACAUUUCUGAGAGGAUAAAGAAAUGCAGGCAGGAAAACUCAGAACUGAAAAAAAAAAUAUCCAUUUAUG